rnacentral:lncRNA from 1 species
UUUUUUUUUGUUACGUCGUAUCUACUCUCCUUUACCAUGAAUAGAUAACAGAAUUUUUCCAGAAAGAACUCUAACCUCUAAAUUCUUUUCCUCCCUUUACUGGAACUGUCGUCUAAACAAAUGAAUUUUAACAUUUGUAGAAUUAUUUACAUCAUGAAUUUGAUUUAAGGACAUGAGGGGACAUCUGAGGAGUUUACAUUAUUUUGAUACGGAGGUAAUACUAGAUAGAUCAUUCAGUAGUCGCAAAAAAGAAAAGGUUGAGCAUUCAGGUAGAUAUAAAAUGUCUGUGCAAAGAAAUUAUCAUUUCUCUCUUCCAUGCUGGAUUCUUCAAGGAGUUAUGGCAGGCUGUGGUCUUUACUCCGUCAUACCAAUGAUUGGCUAUAGAAACAGGGAGAUUUCAGUGAAGUCCUGAAAUUGGUCAUCAUGAUGAAUUUGUACCAAUGUCCACCAGAUUAUGAUCAGACUGAUCUGGUCUGUUAUUCACAAUCAUGUUUCUUCACAGUAUACCAAUCGAAAACAAAAGAGGUUCGAAGAUUUAGAAGUCACUCUUCUGUUUCCAGCCAUGUUUAUUUUAGAUGUUAGGCUAAAAGUUCUAACAAAAUAACCAUGAUAAGUGAUCUAGCAUCCUUUGGGGAAGAAGUUUAUGGAUUUGAUCAUUAGCAUGCUACGCUACAGGUUGAAAUUAAUUAUCUCUGAUGUAUAUUGUGUUUUGUGUAUAUGACACAGGAUGAAUUGAAUGAGCUUGAAACCAUGGAACCUGCAUCUGCGGCAUGCCGGGAGUAAGUAAUUUCAAGUAUAUCGCAUAUGUUUCCCGUGCUCUUGCAUUCCAGUUUGUGAUUGUUUUUCCUCUUGACUAAGCCAGGGUGAUCACAAGUACUGAAGGAAAACCUGACCCGCUUCUUCCAAUGUAAGUGCCACCACAUCUUAUUCUUGCCAGUAUCUCACCCUAGGAAAUCUGACCGUAUGAGCACACACACACAAAGUGUAACACGGUCGCAUUUUUGCAGCACAAGUAGCCCGGAGAACUCUUCAUGGGACAGGUGGUUCCAGCGCGUGCGAAGCUCUCGCAGCAACAAAUGGUGGCAAUCCAAAGGCUCCGAUUUUGCCUAGCUUUCGCCGAAGCUGAGACAAGCUGUGUGCAGAUUGAAUCGACCCCAAUCCGUAUGGUCCAUCGUUGGCCUGGCAACAGAAUACAACCCAGUUUUCUUGAGAAUCGUUGUGUAUGUAAUCCCUAACAAAAACAUGAAUGUAUCCUCAUUAGUCCUGAUUGCUGUCCAGAAAAUAGUCCUGUAAUUCAUCUCCCUCAGGUGCUGACUAGCUAUGUUCGAUUCUGGUGGUCUUGGAGCAAAAUGGUCCUGUACUUUUGGGCAAGUUUGUUGACCUUUGAGCAAAAUUUCUCAUGUGCAUCUAAUUUUGUCGAAAAUUGCGGAAGCACCGCCUUUCGUUCGAUUUGGCUAGUUGUGUUUAUUCAGUGAUGAAUGAUAUCUCCAAACAUGAUUGUGUAAAAUAUUGGGUCCACGAUCUCUCACUGUCGUGUGGGGACCGCAUGUAAGAGUACACCCGAAGCAUCUCUCGCUGUCAUGUGGGACCAGCUUGCAGGAGGGUCUACUUGGAUCAUGAGCGCCAUCAUCCAUCCACAUCCACUCUUCGAUUCUCCGCUUCUCGCCAACCUCAACCCGCCAUGGCCUCCACCGUGGCCUUCACCCCCGCCGUCGCCGUCGGCGCCAAUGUGCAGCACUCUCGGAGGACCUCUUCGCUGCGGCCCGUCCCGAGAGCCAGGCCCGUGGCCGCGAGGGCCAGCGCCGAGCGGGACGGGGCCGCGGCGGCCGUCCAGGCGCGGUCGGGGCGGACCAUCGAGGAGUGCGAGGCGGACGCCGUCGCCGGGAAGUUCCCCGCCGCGCCGCCGCCGACCAGGCCGCAGGCGCCCAACGGCACCCCGGAGAUCAGGCCCCUCGUACGUCACAUCCCCUCUCAUCCGGGCAUUUGCCCAAGUUCCAAUCGCUGUGCUGAAUUGUGGCCAUGUGGGUGUUUGUUUGAUGUGUGUGUGCAGGACAUGGCGAAGCGCCCUCGCCGGAACCGGAGGUCGCCGGCGCUCCGGGCAGCGUUCCAGGAGACCAGCAUUACCCCCGCGAACCUCGUCCUCCCUCUGUUCAUCCACGAAGGUUGGUGAUUGGGAUACUGAAACAUGGUUGGUGCAAGCAACUGAGAUUGGUGGGUACAGUUUGGUUGAUUGGUAGUUUGGUACUGAUGUGCAGGUGAAGAAGACACUCCCAUUGGAGCUAUGCCUGGGUGCUUCAGGCUUGGAUGGAGGCACGGGCUUCUGGAAGAGGUACCGAGCUUACCGCAGUUUACAUGAUUCGGUGCCAUUGGAGCUAUGCCUGAAUUAUGAUACAUUAGGUGAUUUUCUGUAGUAAGGACAUUGCUGUCCAUAUAACUUCAAUAUCACCAUACUAGAAACAGUGCAUGUAUAUCCAUACGAGUUUACGACGAUAGUUAAUAAUGCGCUGGAAAAUUAGCAACUAUUGUCACACCCUCUUGUUCAAGUCUUAGUUAGCUACAUCUAUCUUCAGGAAGAAAUCAGUUUUGUUGAACUGCUAUUAUUCACAGGUGUACAAGUCACGCGAUGUUGGUGUUAACAGCUUUGUGCUAUUUCCAAAGGUUCCUGAUGGAUUAAAGGUUUUGCCAGAAACAUAAGUUUUUUUCGUCUAAUUGAAUUGCAUAGAUCAUAUGGAAUAACAUAGACGUCCUUUGUCCAUCAGACGCAAACUGGAGAUGAGGCAUAUAAUGAUAAUGGUUUAGUGCCGCGAACAAUCCAUCUGCUCAAGGAUAAGUACCCUGACAUUGUGAGUCAUGUGUUACAUUUGAUAAUCAUUGUCACAUUACAUCAUUUAUGCUAAAUGCUAACAUGUCCGCUUCUCACCAUACUACCUGUUUAGGUUAUCUACACUGAUGUUGCUUUGGAUCCGUAUUCUUCUGAUGGUCAUGAUGGCAUUGUGAGGGAAGAUGGUUAGAAUUUAUUCCUUGCAGAUUUGCUCCCAGAGAGAUAAUAUUUGAAGUUUACUUCCAUUCAUUGCUUCAGUUCAGUGUGAUAUCCUGAGAAUUUUACUUUGCAUAUGCUAACAAUCUAAUCAUAUUAAUAUAACACUCAUUGCUUAAUACUGCUACUGUUGUAGACUUGUAGUGCCAUACUGAUUAAAGAAAACUUUAUUUCUUCUAUCGAGACCAAGAGAGCAUACCUGAUUUGGAAGAAUGUUGAGAAAAAGUAGUGUUGUAUAGGCUUUACAGGCAUAUGAGCCCGUUAGAUCAUGCUUGAGUUGCACUGUUAGAGUAUACCUGAUUUUUUUUACAUUAUGUUGGAUGAUGUUACCGGAGGCUGCAGUUAUUACUUUUUAAUCAUAGUUUGUGUGAUUGAUAUUGAUUUAUACUUUCCGAAGUAAGCAGCUUUGGAGGAGUUUUGUGACUGAUAAAUGAGUUCCAUCAAAGUUCAACUAGAUGCUGUUUGUAUAGAAAUGAAAGGAAUAGAACAUCAAUCUGUUACUUCUGACCAUGUAGAUUAUGGGAAAAAAUUGCUCGUUUCCCCCCUGUUUACAUAUGAGCUGAGGGCACCCCCUGUUUACAUAUGAGCUGAGGGCAUUAAAUUCCACAACGGAGAUGUUUGCAUGCCAAGUCAAUUGGAUGUGCAUUCCAGUUUAGUAGUUCGUACCAAUAAAAGUAUGUUGGUAGAAAUGUGCUCUUUUUCUCGAUAAUGGCACUUAUUAAUAACCAUGUUUCCAUUGGCCUUUUAUCCCACUGCAGGAGUCAUCAUGAACGAUGAAACAGUCCAUCAGCUGUGCAAGCAGGCAGUUUCCCAGGUUCCCUUUCCUGAAUCGGCCUUGUAGUCAUGGGCCUCCUGGCUUAGUAUACCUUUGAGUACAUACUUAUAGGAAACUUUGCUGUUGCUAAAUAGGCUCGAGCUGGUGCUGAUGUUGUCAGUCCUAGUGACAUGAUGGAUGGUCGUGUUGGAGCAAUUCGGGCUGCUUUAGAUGCGGAGGGUUUCCAUGAUGUCUCCAUCAUGUCCUACACUGCCAAGUACAUACCUGUCCUGAAAUAGAACCUACUGUUGUCUUAUUAUAUUUGAUAAUUUUCUUCUCCCCUUGACUACAAAUUGCAAGUAGGAUCAUGUGUAUGAUGUAUAAGCUAUGAUAUUGCAGGUAUGCUAGUUCAUUUUAUGGUCCAUUCCGUGAAGCUUUGGAUUCAAAUCCACGAUUUGGAGACAAGAAGACGUAUGUACCUAACCUUAAAACUUGUAGUUACAUCCAGUGUAUAAUUUAAAAUCAUUAUAUCUAAGUGACCUAGUACACGCUUUGUUGAUUCUCAAGUUAUCAGAUGAACCCAGCCAAUUACAGAGAAGCCCUUAUAGAAACUGCAGCAGAUGAAGCAGAAGGAGCAGACAUUCUUCUGGUAAUUCUGUUACUUUGUAUACAGAGUGCUCGAUCAUCAAAGUCUUUGUUUGUUUCCUUGCUUGUGUAGCGUACUAAAAGCUAUGUUAUCAUUUGUCAGGUGAAACCUGGAUUACCAUACCUGGAUAUUAUCCGACUUCUACGGGAUAAUUCAGCCCUGCCGAUUGCUGCAUACCAGGUUAGUUUGCAAGCUUUUUUACCUGCAACCACAUCUUCCAUAUUUCACGUGAAAGCAGAAACCAUUUUCUUAGCGUCAGGUACAAUGUUGUUGAUGAAGCCAUUUUCAGGGCCACAUGUACUGCAUAGUGCCACCUAGAUUCGUCUUGUUAUUUUCUCUUUACCCAGAAGGAGAUUUAGGUUCAUGUGUAACAAAAGGACUGGCGGCCAAAUGAUCUUUAGCAAUAAGCAAAGCAGACAUUUUCGAUAUCGUUUUCUCAGAAAUAGCUUCUGGCCUCCCCUUGAACCCUGUCCCUGUCUAUAACACCACCCUGAAACUGAUCUCCAAUAUGAAUGCUCCGGAGAAUCCCCUUGAAUCUGUUUUGCACGUCCUCCAAUGCGUAUCGCCUGCCUGACCCUACUACACGUGAUCAUUUGAGAUGCACUAGUAAUCUGUCAAACAGAUCAAUGCCACUUAUUUCGACGCAUUUGUUUGUAACCGCAUGAUGGUUGCUGUGUUCAGGUGUCGGGCGAGUACUCGAUGAUCAAGGCCGGCGGCGUGCUGAAGAUGGUGGACGAGGAGAAGGUGAUGAUGGAGUCGCUGCUGUGCCUGCGGCGCGCCGGCGCCGACAUCAUCCUCACCUACUUCGCCCGCCAGGCCGCCAACGUCCUCUGCGGCAGCAAGCGGCCGUAGCUCAUCACGGAAGUCGAUUUCUUGUAGUAGUAGCACCAUGGCCAUGGCGCUUCACUGCAUUGCAGAGUAUGUGGCGCGGCACGGCCAUGCUCUCCGGUAGAUAGAGGUUUGUCACCGGCUUCGGUUUGGUGUAAUUAACGAGGCUUUAUUUUUAACUGAUUUUAGGGGUGGUUUUUUAGAACUGAUGAGAGGUUUGCGAGAAGGAGACGCUCGUUCGUGAGCACUGACAGGUGGGCCCGCCAGGCCUGCCUGCGUGGGCCGGGCCGCCGGGCUGCAUGCACGGGUCAGCUUGACGUUCCGGUGACAUCACCGGCUUUUUUGAAUUGCACGCGACCUGGGGCACCGCCCCCCUGCUCUGCUCCCACUGUGUGCUCUGCUUCCGUAAAUUUCUCCGGGGCUCACACGCACGCAGAACACCUGCACACACAACAGCGCCAGCACAUUCAGGGCCGGACGGCGUCUGCACACUCCUGCGCCACCACCACCACUGCUCCUCCUCUAUUAUUUGCAUCAUGACAUUUCACACCGUCUCUUUUCUAGUAUAACCGCGAACGCUUCGCACCGUCUCUCUUUUAGAACCAUUUCACACUGCCUGUUAACAGGAGUACUACUGUCUACUGUACUUACUAUAUAUUUCCCUCGCAGAAAAGAAAAGACAAUGGAAAUCUCAGGUCCCCUCCUCGCUUCUUGUUUGACUAUUUUCCUACCACGUGUUUGGUUUACCGAACACACAUGCCGAUGCCGCACGCUCGUUUUCUUUCCACCAUUUUUUUUGCUUCAAAGGAUCAGUGUGCGGGUGCCCGCUACACUUGUUCGGAAACUUCAUAUGGUCGUCGCUAUGGGCCGGGAUCACCAGAUCAGAUCAUGAGAGUAGUGGAAGGUCAACGGUGGGUGCUGAGGCAGACCCAGUUGACCCAAGGCCCCAAACCAAUACUGGCUCACUGGUCGCUGCCUGCUUUCUUCUUCCUUACUACGAGUAGCAUUUGGCAAAUGGGACGUACAUGAGCAAACGUGUACUUUGCUCCGGUGGACGUACAUGAGCAAACAUCUAACUACACAUUUUCUUUCGGAAUCUCAUCUGAGAACACUUGAUUACUGCCUGUUUACAAGAGGUCCGUACUGCUACAACUUAGGACAGUGUUAUUUUAUCUUGGAUCCGCCGCCGCCCCACGAUGAAAUGAUGCCCAGCAGCAGGCCAGCACCCACCAGCCACUUCCUCGCCAUUCACAGCGAGCGCUCGCUCGCUCGCUCGCUCAGUCCCCCUUGUCUGUCUCCAUGGAUGGAUCGAUGGGCACCGACAGCGACACCACUUGCCCCUACCCCGCCUGCUUUGCCCUUGGCGCCUUGCCAAUGGCCAAUGCCGUCUACCCAUGCGUGACGGCCGGACCGGCCCAGUGCCGGGCCCUCCAUGAUAGAAAUGCCCAUGCAUGCAUGUACGUACGUCGUCCUCUUCCCCCUCCCCCCACCCCCACGACAAGUACAACAGCAAGGUGGCGGAUGCGCUGGCGAGCGGGCGCACGGAAUGGAUGUCUGAUUUGUUGCAGCAUCGCGCGGCUGGCGUGAGCCGGGAAAAUGCCAUGGCCUUUUCAUGUGCAGUUCUGAGUUCUGGGGGAGGGACCAACCCGUGUGCGCCCCGCACCUGCGCCUGCUCCCUCGAAACGCCGCAUUUUCAUCUUGAUCCGAUUCCUCUUUUGCGCGGGGAGAAUUUCGAUCUGAAAUUACGAGAAGGAAGAGCGAAUUGAUGCCCAACAUUCUCCCUCUCGGUUUCAUUGCUGCUCUUUUUGGCCGCUGCGCUUCUGCGUCUCCUCUACGAGUAAUCAACCCGUGUUCAGAGUUAGGAGGAGUACACUUUUGAUCAUCAUGUAUCAGAUCGAGAUGUUUUACUGCAGUAGAUGAAGGUGCCACUCAUUCUGUUAUUGCAGGCUCGAAGAUUACACAUCCAAAUUAAUUUAAUAAAUCCGGGCAGAAAGAAUACAUAGGAGGGCCUCUUUUAACUCCAUCCAAUCUCUCUCUCUGUAGAUCGUGGAUCGAAUACUCGCAACAAAUUCAGAAGAAGGAAGAAGAAGAGAUGAAAAAGAAAUCCAAGGUGGAAAAAAAAUACUACGGGUGACGGCGGAGCGAGCGCGAGGUGAGGUAUUAUACUGGCGGCGAUCGGCUGUUGGCGGCGGCUCCGGCGGUGGAUCGGGAGGAAUUAGUUGUACGGCUUCAUUGGCG